rnacentral:miRNA from 10 species
AGUCUUUUUCAACAGGUUUCACA